GGCAGAGCUCCCAGCUCAGCCAAUCAGAGGCUGCGAUGAAGCUCCGUUUUGAGAGGAGGAGGUUCCUACAGUGGUUGCCCGGUAACCAGUCAAACAAUGUUGACAGGAUGGCAGUGCGGAAGGGCUUGCCAUCCAAAGGUAGCAACAGGCUGGCGGUCACCUCAGCUGCCUUUCAAGACCACAUCACACGCACCUUUUUGCACCCAGACUUCACACUUACUGACCCUUUGCUGAGAAGCAAAAGGAAAGCACCCAGAAAUCCACGAGCAAGGGUAACAUCUGACGGGGGUCUGCAGAGGCAGGUUCAACAAGAGAGGGGAGAGGAGGAAUAUGUGCUUGAUUCUUCUCCACCUCCUUUAACUUUAGCUCAGAAAUUGGGUUUGGUGGCCUCCCCUGCAGGAAGACUGACAGAGGAUGAAUGGAUGCAGGUCAAGGCGAGGUCUGUUCAGCAGGGGCAAUCAGCUCAGCCCUGUGCGAUAUGCAGGGAGGAGUUUCACCUUCAGCCUCAGGUAUUGCUUUCCUGUUCUCAUGUUUUCCACCAAACCUGUUUGCAGGCUUUUGAGAGGUUUUCUGGGAGGAAGUGCUGUCCUAUGUGCAGAAAGGAGCAGUAUGAAACCAGGGUGAUCCACGAUGCAGCUCAACUCUUUAGACACCAGUGUGCCACCAGAAUUCAAGCAAGCUGGCGAGGCUAUGCGACUCGAAAAAAGUACCAAAAUUUGAGGAAAACAAUCUGUCCCGAAGACAAGCGACUCAGACGCAAAUUCUUUGAAGCAAAGUUGCAGGAGUUGAAUGACAGCUUUGUCCGAUACUGUCACACCGACACGGAGGCUUUUCUGAGUGAUAUCAACCGCUCGCUGUCAUCAAGCAGACGAGUGUUUCAACAGCUGGAGAGGAAGAACAUCCCAGAACCUCUUGAGUGCGACUGGGAUCAGAUUCAGAGCCAGGUUAUCCAGAGAGGAGUCUGGGACUGCCCUAUCUGCCUGACAGCUCUGUGCAGCCCAGGCCUCCCAGCAGAAGCAGGUACAUCCAACCAUGCACAUCACAGACACACAGUGCUCCUCUCCUGUUCCCACCUCUUCCACCAGCUCUGUCUGGAGGCUUUUGAGACGUUUACUUUGGAGAGCAGACCCUCCUGUCCCCUGUGCAGAUCUGCCUACCACAAAAAACUCACCUAAGCAGAAACAAAGGUUGACGCACCAGCGUAGAGGCCCCCUGGAGCCAAAGUGGAAGAGUAUCCAUUUGCAUCCCCCUGAGGAGUGAAGGACCAAUCACUUUGAUCAAACCGCUUUCUUCCCUCUGUUAUUAUGACACGCCCUGUCUGGAUGGCUUUGAGUAGUCCACAUCUACAAACACAAACGGGGGUAAGAGGAUAAUCUGCAGCAGGAGCUGGAUGCGGAGCGGACACGGGUGAGGCAAGAAGACAACAUUGCUCGCCUCUGGAGUGUGUCCUGUGAACUGUUCCUGAACUGCUGUCUGCUCUCGGCACAUCAAAGAAACAUCACUUUAGAGGCCUGAGUGUGUGCGUGAUCAGUGAGUGUGUGCAUAAAAAAACAUUCAUGUUAACAUCCUCUUUUGCCUCUAAUUCUCACCUUUCUGUAAAAGGUAAAAGUGGAUAGCAGCUUUGGCCUCUGCACAUAUGAAGUUGUUCAGAGUUAUUUUCUGCCUCACAGAGACUUGUAAAGAUCAAACAGCGCUGAAGAUGAUAAGGGACAGAUUACAAUUAUUCUAUCAGGGACUUCAAAGCAGUUCAGCGGAAUGAGCCCUAAGGAACUAAGGAACCAUACGCAUUGGUGGCAGUCUAUGGAGGUGACCGGCGUGGCAUUUGAAAACAUGCCUCAUUAUCAGGCAGCCAUCUCCCUUACCACCCUGGUUUGAAUAGACGCUCAUCCUCUUCAUUUACUUGCAUCUGUACUCCUGGU